ACACUUUUUGUCUUUCUUAUUACAUCUAGAGUCACUUUCUACUAGAGGCACACUUUUGCCAUAUGAAAAGUCUAUUUUGGCCUCCAACUUAACUAUCUCUCUCGACUAAAAGACGCGACAAAAAAUAAAUCAAAUCUGAAAUCGCUAAUCAACGCCGUCUUUCAGCGUAACCAACCAUUCUUCUCCGACCAGUAGCACUGGAUUGACCAUUCACCGCCGUGAUUUUCCUCGUUUACAACAAGAACUCGGAACUCGCAUCGUUUUUUCUCGACAAGAUCUGGAACAGUCACGAUGUUCUCCUUUUGCUACCAUGUCUCCUCCGUCGUUUGUCUCCACCCCGGAAUCUCACAUCGAUGCCGUCGUUCUCCGUCUGAGGUGGAUUGUCGCCGAUAAAAAGUCAGAGACUUCCUCCUCAUCCUCGCCGUCGUUCACCGUCCGAAGUCCAUUUUCGCAAACAAAAGAUGAAGUUAUUUGUUAAGUAUGUGACCAUAGUGGAACACCAGAUUAUUCGUGACCAUGAAACAAACAGUUGCAUAGAUCAAGAGAUGGUUAAAGCAGCCACGUAGUGUAGGAAAGGUAUGUACAUGGAUGUCACAUUAUCAAAAUUUACAUGAAGUCUUCUUUGUCCACGAUUUUAUGUCACAUUUUCUUUUAUUCAUAAUUCACAAUUUGUAUGUCCACAAUUCAUUGGUUCAGACAAUAUCAUUUAUACUAUGUAUGUAGAUGUGUACAAGAGAUAUAUAGUUAAAAUCGUUCGU